rnacentral:rRNA from 1 species
CGGACGGGUGAGUAAUGUCUGGGAAACUGCCUGAUGGAGGGGGAUAACUACUGGAAACGGUAGCUAAUACCGCAUAACGUCGCAAGACCAAAUAGGGGGACCCUCGGGCCUCUUGCCAUCGGAUGUGCCCAGAUGGGAUUAGCUUGUUGGUGGGGUAACGGCUCACCAAGGCGACGAUCCCUAGCUGGUCUGAGAGGAUGACCAGCCACACUGGAACUGAGACACGGUCCAG